rnacentral:rRNA from 1 species
GAACUGAAGAUUUGGUGAUUGAGUGGCGGACGGGUGAGUAACGCGUGGGUAACCUACCCUGUACAGGGGGAUAACAGUCAGAAAUGACUGCUAAUACCGCAUAAGACCACAGCACCGCAUGGUGCAGGGGUAAAAACUCCGGUGGUACAGGAUGGACCCGCGUCUGAUUAGCUGGUUGGUGAGGUAACGGCUCACCAAGGCGACGAUCAGUAGCCGGCUUGAGAGAGUGAACGGCCACAUUGGGACUGAGACACGGCCCAAACUCCUACGGGAGGCAGCAGUGGGGAAUAUCGCACAAUGGGGGAAACCCUGAUGCAGCGACGCCGCGUGAGUGAAGAAGUAUCUCGGUAUGUAAAGCUCUAUCAGCAGGGAAGAAAAUGACGGUACCUGACUAAGAAGCCCCGGCUAACUACGUGCCAGCAGCCGCGGUAAUACGUAGGGGGCAAGCGUUAUCCGGAAUUACUGGGUGUAAAGGGUGCGUAGGUGGUAUGGCAAGUCAGAAGUGAAAACCCAGGGCUUAACUCUGGGACUGCUUUUGAAACUGUCAGACUAGAGUGCAGGAGAGGUAAGCGGAAUUCCUAGUGUAGCGGUGAAAUGCGUAGAUAUUAGGAGGAACAUCAGUGGCGAAGGCG